GAUCCAUGCUCUGGGACCCGGAAUGUAAUCACUCGUUGAGAGGAUUAAGAAUAUUAGAUUGCAUAAAGGAUUGCUCUUUGGAGUUCUGAUUAUCAAGAAGGAAGGAGAAAAAGGAUUCAUACACAGAUCUAAAGUAGAAUCAAUGAGAAGUCUCAAAAAGAUGAUGUUGAAAUAUGAACUGGAUAACCAAGGAGUAGGUAUACUGAAGAGCUCUCCAGAACCCUCUGGAAUGAAAGACUGUUCAACUUUUAAAAUGUGGCUUUUUUCUUUUCUCAAUAGCCUCUUUAUUUUUAUUUCCACAGACUCCAAAGCAACAAUAAAGAAGGCUUCUCAGUA